GAAAAUGACACUUUUAAAUGUCGGGGAGUUGUAUUAAGCGACCCGGGGAUUUGGUUGUGGGGACCAUGUGGGGGCACCACUUAAAGAAAUGUGCUCCGUUCUGGCGUGUUCACUGUGAGCGAGGCUCACCGGUGACGCCUGAGGAGCCGAGGCGCUGUUGUCAAUGUUCAUUCUCCCUGGUGGGUCAAGGCAGCUAGAAACGCUAAAAAGGCCCAAGCCUAGCUGUGAUACGUUAUGUGUUCAUCGUGGUCAGGGCAAGACAGAUUAGAAAAGGUAGCCUGAUGGACCAGUUUCUGAAGUCAGUGCACUGUGGUGAUUCAGGAUGAAUCUAUUUUAAUACAUCGUAGAUGGUCACCACUUAAACGUCAAAGGAAAACAGCCCACCUAUUUCACAUGGGUCUUGGAAUCAGAACAGGGUCCUUGUGAGGAUUAAAGAGCAUGUCUGUACAUUCUCUGCCAACCAACACGCUCUGGUCUUGUUCAGGUAUCUAUGCUCCUGCACUUGGUCAUGUUCGUGUAUGGAUGCCAGUUACUUCCUAAGCUCCUAAAGGUGAAUCCUGAUUAAUUUAAGCCAAUCAAGGAAACUAGAAAGAACGUGCUUCUCCAAAAUGAGGGAAUAAACCAAAAAGAGAAAGACAUGGGAUCCAGUACACAAGAACCUCCCUUCUGAGAGGAAGACAGUAGACAAGACCAGACCUCUAUCACGAGGGGAAGACAGUUUAUUGUUGCUGAUGUAGAGGAAUGAAACUAAUUUGUGUAUGCUGUGCUGGUAUGAGAAACAUUAUUCAAUUCUCUUAUUAGUUCUGCUUUUUUUUUUUCUUUCCUAAUACCAUUGGCCAAGACCACUAAUGCUACACUAAAAAUCACCAGUAGGGGCGCCUGGGUGGCUCAGUUGGUUAAGCGACUGCCUUCGGCUCAGGUCAUGAUCCUGGAGUCCCUG